rnacentral:rRNA from 1 species
GACGAACGCUGGCGGCGUGCUUAACACAUGCAAGUCGAACGAAGUGGCGAACGGGUGAGUAACGCGUAAUCAACCUGCCCUUCAGAGGGGGACAACAGUUGGAAACGACUGCUAAUAACGCAUACUGAAGGUGGGGAUUGCGUCUGAUUAGCUAGUUGGAGGGGUAACGGCCCACCAAGGCGAUGAUCAGUAGCCGGGCUGGGGGGAUGAACGGCCACAUUGGGACUGAGGAACGGCCCAGACGCCUACGGGAGGCAGGAGUGGGGAAUCUUCCGCAAUGGACGGAAGUCUUGCGGAGCAACGCCGCGGGAGUUAUGACGGCCUUCGGGUUGUAAAGCUCUGUUAAUCGGGACGCGGUACCGGAAUAGAAAGCCACGGCUAACUACGUGCCAGCCGCCGCGGUAAUAC